rnacentral:rRNA from 1 species
UUUUUUUUAUAAGACUUGUUUUGUUUGACUUAAUGUUAAUUUAUAAACACACAUAAUCUUAACGAUGGAUGUCUUGGUUCCUACAGCGAUGAAGGCCGCAAUUAAAUGCGAUAUUCUGUAUGUAUUAUAUACAACAUUUGAAUAAAUGCUGAAUGUAGAAUUACAAU